rnacentral:rRNA from 1 species
GGAUGAACGCCGGCGGUGUGCCUAAUACAUGCAAGUCGUACGCACUGGCCCAACUGAUUGAUGGUGCUUGCACCUGAUUGACGAUGGAUCACCAGUGAGUGGCGGACGGGUGAGUAACACGUAGGUAACCUGCCCCGGAGCGGGGGAUAACAUUUGGAAACAGAUGCUAAUACCGCAUAACAACAAAAGCCACAUGGCUUUUGUUUGAAAGAUGGCUUUGGCUAUCACUCUGGGAUGGACCUGCGGUGCAUUAGCUAGUUGGUAAGGUAACGGCUUACCAAGGCGAUGAUGCAUAGCCGAGUUGAGAGACUGAUCGGCCACAAUGGAACUGAGACACGGUCCAUACUCCUACGGGAGGCAGCAGUAGGGAAUCUUCCACAAUGGGCGCAAGCCUGAUGGAGCAACACCGCGUGAGUGAAGAAGGGUUUCGGCUCGUAAAGCUCUGUUGUUGGAGAAGAACGUGCGUGAGAGUAACUGUUCACGCAGUGACGGUAUCCAACCAGAAAGUCACGGCUAACUACGUGCCAGCAGCCGCGGUAAUACGUAGGUGGCAAGCGUUAUCCGGAUUUAUUGGGCGUAAAGCGAGCGCAGGCGGUUGCUUAGGUCUGAUGUGAAAGCCUUCGGCUUAACCGAAGAAGUGCAUCGGAAACCGGGCGACUUGAGUGCAGAAGAGGACAGUGGAACUCCAUGUGUAGCGGUGGAAUGCGUAGAUAUAUGGAAGAACACCAGUGGCGAAGGCGGCUGUCUGGUCUGCAACUGACGCUGAGGCUCGAAAGCAUGGGUAGCGAACAGGAUUAGAUACCCUGGUAGUCCAUGCCGUAAACGAUGAGUGCUAGGUGUUGGAGGGUUUCCGCCCUUCAGUGCCGGAGCUAACGCAUUAAGCACUCCGCCUGGGGAGUACGACCGCAAGGUUGAAACUCAAAGGAAUUGACGGGGGCCCGCACAAGCGGUGGAGCAUGUGGUUUAAUUCGAAGCUACGCGAAGAACCUUACCAGGUCUUGACAUCUUGCGCUAACCUUAGAGAUAAGGCGUUCCCUUCGGGGACGCAAUGACAGGUGGUGCAUGGUCGUCGUCAGCUCGUGUCGUGAGAUGUUGGGUUAAGUCCCGCAACGAGCGCAACCCUUGUUACUAGUUGCCAGCAUUAAGUUGGGCACUCUAGUGAGACUGCCGGUGACAAACCGGAGGAAGGUGGGGACGACGUCAGAUCAUCAUGCCCCUUAUGACCUGGGCUACACACGUGCUACAAUGGACGGUACAACGAGUCGCAAGCUCGCGAGAGUAAGCUAAUCUCUUAAAGCCGUUCUCAGUUCGGACUGUAGGCUGCAACUCGCCUACACGAAGUCGGAAUCGCUAGUAAUCGCGGAUCAGCAUGCCGCGGG